rnacentral:rRNA from 1 species
GACAGAGGUGCCGAGCGUUAGGCGGAAUCACUGGGCUUAAAGCGUGUGUAGGCGAGCGGGCAAGUACCUUGUGAAAUCCCACGGCUCAACCGUGGAACGGCUGGGUAUACUGCCUGUCUUGAGCCAACUAGGGGCGAGCGGAACAGACGGUGGAGCGGUGAAAUGCGUAGAUAUCGUCUGGAACGCCGAAGGUGAAAACAGCUCGCUGGGGUUGUGCUGACGCUGAGACACGAAAGCCAGGGGAGCAAACGGG